GACGAACGCUGGCGGCGUGCCUAAUACAUGCAAGUAGAACGCUGAAGGAGGAGCUUGCUUCUCUGGAUGAGUUGCGAACGGGUGAGUAACGCGUAGGUAACCUGCCUGGUAGCGGGGGAUAACUAUUGGAAACGAUAGCUAAUACCGCAUAAGAGUAGAUGUUGCAUGACAUUUGCUUAAAAGGUGCAAUUGCAUCACUACCAGAUGGACCUGCGUUGUAUUAGCUAGUUGGUGAGGUAACGGCUCACCAAGGCAACGAUACAUAGCCGACCUGAGAGGGUGAUCGGCCACACUGGGACUGAGACACGGCCCAGACUCCUACGGGAGGCAGCAGUAGGGAAUCUUCGGCAAUGGACGGAAGUCUGACCGAGCAACGCCGCGUGAGUGAAGAAGGUUUUCGGAUCGUAAAGCUCUGUUGUAAGAGAAGAACGAGUGUGAGAGUGGAAAGUUCACACUGGACG
rnacentral:rRNA from 1 species